rnacentral:rRNA from 1 species
UUAAAAGGUAAUUGGACGGGGCCCGCACAAGCGGUGGAGCAUGUGGUUUAAUUCGAAGACAACGCGAAAGUAACCUUACCAGGUCUUGACAUCCCGAUGCUAUUUCUAGAGAUAGAAAGUUACUUCGGUACAUCGGUGACAGGUGGUGCAUGGUUGUCGUCAGCCCGUGUCGUGAGAUGUUGGGUUAAGUCCCGCAACGAGCGCAACCCCUAUUGUUAGUUGCCAUCAUUCAGUUGGGCACUCUAGCGAGACUGCCGGUAAUAAACCGGAGGAAGGUGGGGAUGACGUCAAAUCAUCAUGCCCCUUAUGACCUGGGCUACACACGUGCUACAAUGGUUGGUACGACGAGUUGCGAGUCGGUGACGGCGAGCUAAUCUCUUAAAGCCAAUCUCAGUUCGGAUUGUAGGCUGCAACUCGCCUACAUGAAGUCGGAAUCGCUAGUAAUCGCGGAUCAGCACGCCGCGGUCGAAUACGUUCCGGCCUU